rnacentral:rRNA from 1 species
AAUCUUGGUAAAUGGGUGGAAGCCUGAUCCAGCCAUGCCGCGUGUGUGAAGAAGGUCUUCGGUUUGUAAAGCACUUCCAGUGGAGACGAAGGCCAGUAAGUUAAUACCUUGCUGUUCUGACGUUACCGACAGUAUAAGCUCCGGCUAACUUCGUGCCAGCAGCCGCGGUAAUACGUAGGGUGCAAGCGUUAAUCGGAAUUACUGGGCCUAAAGCGCGCGUAGGUGGUUUGUUAAGUUGGAAGAGAAAGCCCCGGGCUCAACCUGGGAACUGCUUUCAAAACUGGCAAGCUAUAGUAUAGAAGAGGGUGGUGGAAUUUCCUGUGUAGCGGUGAAAUGCGUAGAUAUAGGCAGGAACACCAGUGGCGAAGGCGACCACCUGGGCUAAUACUGACACUGAGGUGCGAAAGCGUGGGGAGAAAAC